ACAAUAUAUACGCAAGAAUCAAUAAUUAAAGGUCUAAUUAUUCAGAUUAUAGCAAAUGCAAUAACCCAAGAUCAACCCAUGAUUUCGAUCCCCACUUUAACGUUUUUUCACCAUUAACUUCAGAUUAAAACCUCUCCAGUAAAUAAUUACCCACAAAUCUAAAUUCUAUAGAUCGAAAAAUGGAUUAGGGGAAUAAAUUUUUUAGUUUUAGUGCUAGAAGAGGUGAAAAACCUUUAAGAAAUAUCUCUAGGUUAUCUCUCAGCUCUCAAGAGCAAAACUUGCAGAAAAUAAUAUUUUUGGGAUUUAAUCUUGACUUAAGUCAAGAUUGGCCCGCCGUAGCGUGACCCAACCCGCCUUGGCGGAAAUAAUUCCGCCCCAGCGCCUCUCACAGAGACAAAAGACAAAAAGGAGUCCCAAACUCCCAUUUCACAACACACCUUCAACCCAUGAUGUUCGAAGACUAUAUAUAUAUCCUUUCACGCUAAGAUCAGUUUCGAAAGUUCCACUCGCCCGAAUUUGAUUCUGUAAAGCCGUACGGGUUCCUCAACGUCUUAGCUAUCUACUCAUGUGUACAAUUUCAAGUGUUAAACAUGAUUAGUGAGAAAGGCCAACAUGAAUACUAAAGAAAGAAAAAAAGAACAAAAAUGUGCAUCUACUAAGCUAUAUACCCGCACAGUGGUCACACGCUCUGGCUCUUGGUGGUGCGUCCCCGUGAUGGGUUUUGAAGUUGCUGCCUCUCCGCGCACUGCGCACGCGCGGCAUGGAGGUGUGAAAUCAUUACAGUAAGGUAUUUUUGAUAAUUCAAAGGGAACCCUAUGCUAUAUGAUGUUGUAGCUUGCCCUAGGGCUGAUGAUCAUCGAUAAAAAGAGAAGAAAGAGCGACGAAGAGAAGAGAAAGGGGAAGACACGGUACAUUACUCGAGUUCAAAAUGGAAGUUGCGAUUCAAAGUUUGAUGGCUAUGUUUUCUUUUUCUCUUUUGUUCUUAGUAAACUUAUUCUGAUCCAUGGAGUAAAUUUUUAGAGGGUAUUUUGACAAACAUGUUGUAUUGAUGAAUUUGUUGGGAUUUUGGUUUUCAUUCUUAUGCUUGAACUUGUUAUGGGAAUUUAAAUUAAAUUGCAACCUUGUUCAUUAUUUUAUUUAUUCGAAAGAGGAAUAUCUUGGUGAA